UACGGAGGGGGCCAGCGUUGUUCGGAAUCAUUGGGCGUAAAGGGCAGCGUAGGCGGCCACGGCAAGUCGGAUGUGAAAAUCCCUCGGCUCAACCGAGGAAGCUGCAUCCGAAACUGCGAGGCUAGAGUCCUGGAGAGGGUAGUGGAAUUCCCAGUGUAGCGGUGAAAUGCGUAGAUACUGGAGGAACACCGGUGCGAAGGCGGCUACCUGGACAGGUACUGACGGCUGAUGCGCGAAAGCCAGGGAG
rnacentral:rRNA from 1 species